rnacentral:rRNA from 1 species
UACGUAGGGGGCAAGCGUUGUCCGGAUUUAUUGGGCGUAAAGAGCGUGUAGGCGGUUCGGUAGGUCCGUUGUGAAAACUCGAGCUCAACCUCGAGACGCCGAUCGGAAACCCCCGGAACCUAGAGUCCGGAAGAGGAGAGUGGAAUUCCCUGGUGUAGCGGUGAAAUGCGCAGAUAUCAGGAAGAACACCCGUGGCUAAGGCGGCUCUCUAGUACGGUACUGACGCUGAGACGCGAAAGCGUGGGGAGCGAACAGG